GUGGUUCUGAUUAGACCCCUAGCCUGGGAACUUCCAAAUGCCGUAGGUCCGGCCCUAAAAAGCAAAAACGAAAAACAACCCCCCCCAAAAACUCACAGUGCCUCUGCGGGUUUGCUUGUCACUUUGGAGCACCUGAGCACACAGUUUAAUAAUCACAGUUCUAAUCAAAGAAACUCAGCUCUACUCUGAUAGAAAUAGGAAGUCUCUUUUUUAAAGAAAAAUGUUUAUAUCAUAGCUAUUUACACAAGUUUAAACCUUAUAAUGACGUUAAUGAGGGUAUAUUUUAAUGCCAAAGUUUUAAAAUUCAGAUAAUUUUGUUAAUAAUCUGAAACACACCAAGAUGUUGCUGAGAAUAGUGUUUUCUGGUAUCAUCAUCAGAGAGCACAAAAUAAAUGCUGGUAAUAUUAUUAGAAGUAUUAUAGCUCUGACACAUAAAAGAAAAUCAUUCUAUUAGAGAUUAAAUGAUAUUAAUACUAUUGGUAAUCAUUAUCAUCAUAAAUUUUCAACAGUAAAAUUCAUCCCCACAUAUAACAAUUAUUGGACCUUAUUGUUUAGAGGUUGCAUUUUACUGAAGAGCAUCUUGGUUCUUGGAAUAAAAUUUUAAACAGCAACCAAAGAACAGCUUUAAGUUAAAAAUGUUUUAUUUUUAAGAGUUAGUGGUGUGAACGUUUUUCUCACACAGCUAAACUGCUGGAACGAGUCCAAGCUUUGUGCAAGUUUUCCUUAAGUGUUUCAUGUUGUCCCUGCUUUAAACCCAAACAAUUGCUAACUCUUUGUAAGCUGUUGUAAUACUGACUCAGCUGAUAAAUUAAUGAAAUCCCCUUUCUUGGAAAUCCUAAACCACAAAACAUUUGUUACAUUGCUAAUAGGAAGGAGUGGACAGAGAUGGGCCACCCAACAUUCUCUAUGCCUGGAUCAUCUGCAAUGAGAAAACAGCAAUUUAUUUGUAUUUCUUACUUACCCAGAUCAACAGUUACCAACUAGAUAGGGACUGAGCCUAGAGCAGCAGGAGGUGGUAUAUAAAAACACAGGUACUGGAGGAAAUGGGAGGGGACAGAACCAUAAUCAAUGGCUGUCAGGUGUGGUUGGCAGGAUGUAGCUGGUGGGCUAGAGGAAGAGAAGUAGAAGAAAUGGUGCUCAUCCAAGGUUAUUUUGAUUAACUAGCCAGAAGGCCACAGAUGGAUACUCACAGGAGAAUGAUCAGAGCAGAAAUAGCACUCUUGGCAGGUAGAUGUGGGGACUGAGGGAGAAUUAAUUUUAGCUUUAAUUUUUAAAGUUUUAAUUCAUUUGUAUUUUAUUUUAAUUAAUUUUUAAAAGCUUUAAUUUUUUAAAAAAGUUUUAAGAUUUUUAUUAUAGGGAUAUAUGUAUAUAAGGAAAUAUACCACGUUAACCCUUCUUAAGUGUACAGUUUAGUGGCAUUAAGUACAUUCACAUCAUUGUACAAUCCUCACCACCAUCUGUCUCCGGAGCAUUUUCUUCUUCCCAAACUGAAACUCUGCACCCACUAAACAACCCCCUAUUACGCUCUCCUCCCCUGCCCCAGGCUCCUUGUGACCACCAAUGUGCUGCCUGCCUCUAUGAAUUUGACUGUUCUAAGUACUUCAUGAACUGCCAUACUGUUUUCCAUAGUGGCUGCACCGUUUUACAUCCAUACCAGCAAUGACCCUUUCAUUUCAGUCUCAGCCACAGUGGACGCUUCCGUGGAAGCACAGACUUUCCUUGUGCUGCCAGCAUCUUACCUUAAGCUCAAGCUCAAGCCACACUUUCUGCUCCAAGGUCAUCUCCAACACACACAAAUGCAGCCCAGAAAUACCUGGAAGUUAACAGCCUUUCCUGGAGGAAACUUCUAGCACAGGUCAGGGGUCAAGCCUCCCAUUUGUUUCAGGUGGACAAUUCUGAACAGCUUUCCAUGACCUUCUUUUGAGAUUGAUGGGAACAAGCCCACCACUCCCAGUAGCAACCUCAGCAGCCCACACUGGUCUCAGCUUUUCCUCCUUCCCUGUCUCCAUCUCUUGCUUCCUGGAAUCAUCACCCAAAUAAACCACCCAUACCCCUCGGGCUCUGCCUUGAUGGGGGCUCAAAGGAAUAAGGGACAAAUACUGGGAGCAGAAAGACCAGCCCUUUCCAGGUACAACUACAUCAGCAGCAUAGUCUCACUGGUGACCUUCAUCCACGAUCAUGUAAGAACACUUCCUAAGGGGAAAGUAUGCUCAACGCAUUGAUGAUAUAACCUAUCCCAGCACAUUGAUAUUAUAAUCUAGACUCCUUCUUAGGGGUCUUUUGUUUGGUUUUAUUUUUCUUUGAGGGGGCAGUCCCUUUGCUCUUUCCUCUUUUUCAAUGUCUAAAUCCCUUGUGUGAUGCCUCACUUUCAUGUUUAGAAUUUCCCCAAAUUGACUGUGGCCUGUGGAAGGCAAGGUGGAGGGAGCUGUUUAUAGAAAAUGAACAAGGAAGGGAAGAAGACCAGAGGUGAAAAGCUGUGACUAAUUUUGACAUCAAAGAUUACAAUGAUAUACACAAUGGAAUACUACUCAGCCAUAAAAAAGAAUGAAAUAAUGCCAUUUGCAGCAACAUGGAUGGAACUAGAGACUCUCAUACUAAGUAACGUAAGUCAGAAAGAG